rnacentral:rRNA from 1 species
UGGGGAAUAUUGGACAAUGGGCGCAAGCCUGAUCCAGCCAUGCCGCGUGAGUGAUGAAGGCCUUAGGGUUGUAAAGCUCUUUUACCUGGGAAGAUAAUGACGGUACCAGGAGAAUAAGCCCCGGCUAACUUCGUGCCAGCAGCCGCGGUAAUACGAAGGGGGCUAGCGUUGUUCGGAUUUACUGGGCGUAAAGCGCACGUAGGCGGAUCUUUAAGUCAGAGGUGAAAUCCCAAGGCUCAACCUUGGAACUGCCUUUGAUACUGGGGAUCUCGAGUUCGGGAGAGGUGAGUGGAACUGCGAGUGUAGAGGUGAAAUUCGUAGAUAUUCGCAAGAACACCAGUGGCGAAGGCGGCUCACUGGCCCGAUACUGACGCUGAGGUGCGAAAGCGUGGGGAGCAAACA